rnacentral:rRNA from 1 species
GAUGAACGCUGGCGGAAUGCUUUACACAUGCAAGUCGAACGGCAGCACGGGUGCUUGCACCUGGUGGCGAGUGGCGAACGGGUGAGUAACAUAUCGGAAUGUAUCCAAUAAUGGGGGAUAACUAAUCGAAAGGUUGGCUAAUACCGCAUACGCCCUACGGGGGAAAGCUAGGGACCUUCGGGCCUGGCGUUAAUGGAGCGGCCGAUAUCUGAUUAGCUAGUUGGUGGGGUAAUGGCCUACCAAGGCGACGAUCAGUAGCUGGUCUGAGAGGACGACCAGCCACACUGGAACUGAGACACGGUCCAGACUCCUACGGGAGGCAGCAGUGGGGAAUUUUGGACAAUGGGCGCAAGCCUGAUCCAGCCAUUCCGCGUGAGUGAAGAAGGCCUUCGGGUUGUAAAGCUCUUUCGCAAGGGAAGAAAACUUAUCCUCUAACAUAGGAUGAGGUUGACGGUACCUUGAUAAGAAGCACCGGCUAACUACGUGCCAGCAGCCGCUGUAAAAC